CGGCAACGGCCUAAAACUCAAAGGACUUGGCGGUGCUUUAUACCCACCUAGAGGAGCCUGUUCUGUAAUCGAUAAACCCCGAUAAACCUCACCAAUCCUUGCUAAUUCAGUCUAUAUACCGCCAUCUCCAGCAAGCCCUAAAAAGGAACAAAAGCAAGCUCAAUCAUAUUACAUAAAGACGUUAGGUCAAGGUGUAACCAAUGGAAUGGGAAGAAAUGGGCUACAUUUUCUAUUUCUAGAA
rnacentral:rRNA from 1 species